GACGAACGCUGGCGGCGUGCUUAACACAUGCAAGUCGAACGGAAAGACCCUGCUUUUGUGGGGUGCUCGAGUGGCGAACGGGUGAGUAACACGUGAGUAACCUGCCCUUGACUUUGGGAUAACUUCAGGAAACUGGGGCUAAUACCGGAUAGGAGCUCCUGCUGCAUGGUGGGGGUUGGAAAGUUUCGGCGGUUGGGGAUGGACUCGCGGCUUAUCAGCUUGUUGGUGGGGUAGUGGCUUACCAAGGCUUUGACGGGUAGCCGGCCUGAGAGGGUGACCGGCCACAUUGGGACUGAGAUACGGCCCAGACUCCUACGGGAGGCAGCAGUGGAGAAUAUUGCACAAUGGGCGGAAGCCUGAUGCAGCAACGCCGCGUGCGGGAUGACGGCCUUCGGGUUGUAAACCGCUUUCGCCUGUGACGAAGCGUGAGUGACGGUAAUGGGUAAAGAAGCACCGGCUAACUACGUG
rnacentral:rRNA from 1 species